rnacentral:tRNA from 1 species
UAGGAUGUGGCUCAGUGGUAGAGCACUUGCCUAGCAUGUGUGAGACUCUGGGUUAGAUCCCAAGCAUCCAAA